UAUAAAAUCAGCGCCAUCUCUAGAAUAUUACAAAUGGAUUAAACAUAAGGUAAGAAAAGUAAAUAAUAAAAGAAGGAUAGAGAUAAUGCAGGAAUUAAUAGUUAGCGCCAUCUAUCGAGUAACAAAAAUUUUAAGUUUGAAAUUCCCCAAGAGAUGGUGUUAUCUGUUCAUUAUUUUUAGAAAAAUAUUUUUAAAAGAUUUUAUUUAUUUUCGAUUCUUAUUUUUCUUUAUUCCGUCUUUGAUAUUCAAGAAGUGACUGGUGGUUAAUUUUUACUAUAUUUCUAAUCUCCGAUUAAUUUAUUUUUCUUAUCUUACAUUAAUUUUAUUUAUAUGAUAUUCUGAAGAUGGCGCUGAUUUUUAUUCUAUUUUUUUGUUCUUCUCUUACUAUUUGCUUUUGUUUGUAUUUAUUCAAUAAUUGUAAUAAUAGAAAUACUUGUUACAACUUACAAAUCAAAAAAUGAAAUAUAAGAUAUAAGAUAUAAAAUUUUUUUUUUGUAAUAAAAAAAAUGAUUGUUAUGUAUAUACAUAAAUUUCUAUAUUUAUUUACAUCAUAUAAUAGAUAUAUAGAUAUAUCAAUAUUAGUAAGCAUAGCAUUAAAACAGUCAAGUUCUGGUAAACGAAAAAGUUCCCACCGUAAUUUACGAUCUAAUGCUACUGAUGCUCUACUGUAUACAUAUAACCAAUGAGGUAUUUCUUCAUUAAGGUAUGGAUUAGCUGGAACUAAAACACUGUGGGAGUGAAAAUGUGUGUGGCGUGGUGGUGAUACAACGCGUACUGCUUGUACUUCAUGAGGAUAACAUGGAUGCUCAUAUUGUGCUUGCCGCGUAAUAUGACUAUAAAUAAUAUAAUUUUUUUAUAGAAAUUAUAAUAUAUACUUUUAAUUUUAAAUUAUAAAACCUACUUAACAUAAUAAACACCAUAUUCUGGUGAUUCUAUUCUUUCCCAGCCUGUAGGUAAGCCUUCUUUUUCAAGAGGAUGAGACCAAUGAGUGGUUUUUGUAUUGUGAUCUAUAUAAUAUUUUCUACCUCUAAGAGUGAAGUCCACAGACCAUCCAGGAGGUAAAGGAAGUUCUUCUUGUUGUUCAUUCCUAGAACUUGAUCUUUCUGAAUGGCAACGACUAUAUCUUAAAAAUAUAUAUUACAAACAUAAACAAAAUAUGCAUACUUUUGAUAAUUUUAUAAAUCUUAAGUAUAAUACUUUUCUACCCUGUAUUUUGACGAUAUGCAGAAUGAUUAUAUUCAUCAUAACCUGAAUCAAUAUCAAAAGGUUUAUAAGGUAUUUGUGGUGUUUGAACCCGAUCUAAAUGAUAUUCAGAUCCAGCAUAUUGAUUAACAUAUGUAUGAGAUAUAGCAGGUGAAAGUCCAGAAUGAUACAUUGGAGUUGCAGUGCGAGAUGAAAUUCCAUCUCUUGUACUAGUAUUGAUAGAAAGACUGGCAAAUCUAAAUGAAUAUAUUGCAAAUUUAUUUUAACUUUAAAUUAUUAUUAAUAUAUUUUAAAAGAUAAAUUACCUUUGUGCUAAAUCUGGUACAGAACUAUUAGGAGUAUAUUUUCCUUCAUGACUUCCUAAACCUACUGCACUCAUUGUUGUCUUAGUAUUUCCAAACUUUUGUACCAUACUGGGUUGUUGUGGAAUAGACUACAUAAAAAUUAUUUGUUAUUUAUGUACAAAAAUAUUGUACACAUAAUUACUAUUUACCAUAGAUGUAGGAAUAGUUGAAUGAUUAUUACGAUUCCUUGUUCUUCUAUUUGGUUCAGUUGUCCAUACAUUAAUAACUAAAAGUAAAUAAUAAUUAUAAAAAAAUAAAUUAUAUUUUAUUAUUCGAUAUAGUAUAAUAAUAAGAAAACAAGUAAAACAAUAAUAAAAAAUAAUAAAAAAAAGUGUAUUAUCAAUAUAAAAAUUUGUUUUCUAUAAAUUAAAUUCUAAAUAUGACACAAUAAUAUGUAAUGAUAUCUUACUUGGCAUUUCAGGUGGAGUUUCUUUCUUGACAUAUUUACCAACAACUCCUUCUUUAAUUGUUCUUAAAUCCUUAUUUUUUCGAGACAACAUAAUGGAAUAAAUAUUUGAUCGAGCGACAAACCAAUAAAUCUUCGAUAUUUAUAACCUAUGGUCACGAUAUUAUAUUCGUAAAACUAAUGAAAGUAUAUUCCAAACAUAUAAUGAUAUGGUCAAAAAUAACAAAUUAUUCAUUUUAUAUAUUUGUAUAAAUUUGUUUUAAUAAAGACUCAAAGAUUAUUAAAAA